UACGUAGGGGGCUAGCGUUGUCCGGAAUCAUUGGGCGUAAAGCGCGUGUAGGCGGCCCGAUAAGUCCGCUGUGAAAGCCCAGGGCUCAACCCUGGAAGUGCAUUCGAUACUGGCAGGCUUGAAUAUGGAAGAGGGUCGCGGAAUUCCCGGUGUAGAGGUGAAAUUCGUAGAUAUUCGGAAGAACACCAGUGGCGAAGGCGACUUACUGGACACAUAUUGACGCUGAGGUGCGAAAGCGUGGGGAGCAAACAGG
rnacentral:rRNA from 1 species